AGCAGCCGCGGUAAUUCCAGCUCCAAUAGCGUAUAUUAAAGUUGUUGCAGUUAAAAAGCUCGUAGUUGAAUUUCGGGAUUGACACAUCGGUCGUGCCUUAAGGGGUAUGAACUGGUGUAGUCAAUUUCUCACCUUCUGGAGAACCGCGAUGCCCUUAAUUGGGUGUCGCGGGGAACCAGGACCUUUACUUUGAAAAAAUUAGAGUGUUUAAAGCAGGCAUUUUGCUUGAAUACAUUAGCAUGGAAUAAUAAAAUAGGACGGCAUGAUUCUAUUUUGUUGGUUUCUAGGAUCACCGUAAUGAUUAAUAGGGAUAGUUGGGGGCAUUAGUAUUCAAUUGUCAGAGGUGAAAUUCUUGGAUUUAUUGAAGACUAACUACUGCGAAAGCAUUUGCCAAGGAUGUUUUCAUUAAUCAAGAACGAAAGUUAGGGAUCGAAGACGAUCAGAUACCGU
rnacentral:rRNA from 1 species